rnacentral:rRNA from 1 species
GACGGAGGAUGCAAGCGUUAUCCGGAAUGAUUGGGCGUAAAGCGUUCGCAGGUGGCUGUUCAAGUCUGCUGUCAAAGACCGGGGCUUAACCCUAGAAAGGCAGUGGAAACUGGACGGCUGGAGUGCAGUAUGGGUAGAGGGAAUUCCCAGUGUAGCGGUGAAAUGCGUAGAGAUUGGGAAGAACACCGGUGGCGAAAGCGCUCUGCUGGACUGCAACUGACACUGAGGGACGAAAGCUAGGGGAGCGAAAGGG